rnacentral:rRNA from 1 species
GCGAGUGAAGCGGCAAAAGCUCAAAUUUGAAAUCUGCGUAAGCCGAGUUGUAAUUUGAAGAUGGCUACUUUGGUAAUGGCUCUUGUCUAUGUUCCUUGGAACAGGACGUCACAGAGGGUGAGAAUCCCGUGCGAUGAGAUGUCCAUUACCGUGUAAAGUGCUUUCGAAGAGUCGAGUUGUUUGGGAAUGCAGCUCUAAGUGGGUGGUAAAUUCCAUCUAAAGCUAAAUAUUGGCGAGAGACCGAUAGCGAACAAGUACAGUGAUGGAAAGAUGAAAAGAACUUUGAAAAGAGAGUGAAAAAGUACGUGAAAUUGUUGAAAGGGAAGGGCUUGAGAUCAGACUUGGUAUUUUGUAUGGCUUGCUUUCGGGCGGGUCCUCUGCAGUUUACUGGGCCAGCAUCGGUUUGGGUGGCAGGAUAAUAGCAUAGGAAUGUGGCUCUACUUCGGUGGAGUGUUAUAGCCUUUGUUGAUACUGCCUGCCUAGACCGAGGACUGCGUCUUUUGACUAGGAUGCUGGCAUAAUGAUCCUAAGCCGCCC